GCCGGUGUGGCUCAGUCGAUAGAGCGUCUGCCUGCGGACCAAAGGGUCCUGGGUUCGAUUCCAGUCAAGGGCA
rnacentral:tRNA from 1 species